rnacentral:lncRNA from 1 species
GCCGGGGGAGCCCGGGUGAAACUCAAGCAGCCUCCUUUUAAAGAAGCCUCUGGGGACUCUGGGGCAUAAGAGGCAAUGGCUAAUUUCUAAAUAACUGUGCAGGGAUCAGGGAGCGAGCUUUCUUUCCGCCACCAAGUUCGGCUCUCCUUUUACCCCCUCCAAAAAAAUGUGACUUGCUCUGGUCCUCGCAUCCCCUAGGCCCCUCCUUAAGGUUUUCUGCGCGGUCCCCGCCGCGGAGAAGGGUGCGUCUCCCGGACAUGGAAGACGCAGCAGCGAGACCUUCCUUUGUGCCUGCCCUUGGCUGUGAACUUUCCCGCGCGGCCUUUCUGCCUGCCUGGAGUCAUCUGGAGAGAAAUCAAGUGUGAGCACCUCUCCCGCAGAAAGUUCUUGCAAGGUUCCAGUCGACUAAAUGAGC